rnacentral:rRNA from 1 species
UACGGGGGGGGGCAAGCGUUGUUCGGAAUUACUGGGCGUAAAGGGCUCGUAGGCGGCCAACUAAGUCAGACGUGAAAUCCCUCGGCUUAACCGGGGAACUGCGUCUGAUACUGGAUGGCUUGAGUUCGGGAGAGGGAUGCGGAAUUCCAGGUGUAGCGGUGAAAUGCGUAGAUAUCGGAAGGAACAUCAGUGGCGAAAGCGACUUCCUGGACCAGUACCGACGUUCGAGGCAC